rnacentral:rRNA from 1 species
GACGACGCUGGCGGCGUGGAUUAGGCAUGCAAGUCGAACGGUAGGAUCCUUUCGGGGAUCUGAGAGUGGCGAACGGGUGAGUAACACGUAGGUGAUCUACCCUCAAGACGGGGACAACCCAGGGAAACUUGGGCUAAUACCGGAUGUGAGCUAUCGCGAGAUAGUUUGAAAGGUGGCUUCGGCUGCCGCUUGAGGAUGAGCCUGCGUCCUAUUAGCUAGUUGGUGAGGUAACGGCUCACCGAGGCAGUGAUAGGUAGGCGGCCUUAACGGGUGGUCGCCCACACUGGGAUUGAGAUACGGCCCAGACUCCUACGGGAGGCAGCAGUCGAGAAUAGUCUACAAUGGUCGAAAGACUGAUAGUGCGACGCCGCGUGAACGAAGAAGCCCUUCGGGGUGUAAAGUUCUUUUAUAUGUGAGCAGUGCUUUCUAUGUGAACAGCAUGGGGAGAGAGAUAUUAGCAUAUGAAUAAGCAACGGCUAACUCCGUG